CUCGGUGGAUAUCUUGAAGUAUUCCAGUCAAAGCUUAUUAUAUAUAUGAACCACAAAUGGGGGUUUUAGUUCUAGCAACAAGAAUGGACCUUCCUUAACUACACACACAUAUAAGCUCCUCCAGCUUCAGUAAGAGUUUUCCGAAGUAUUGCCUCGCAUUCAUUCCCACACGUUGUAACAGCGACAAUAUUCAUAUUUAAGUAAUUUUAAGUUAAGAUUGGGGUAAGGAGUUGCAUAAAUUAGCACAAAAGUUACAGUAGGAGUAACUAACAUAUACAAUUUUUCUCGAUAUUAAAUUAUAUCAAAUCAAUAAUAACAAAGUAAUUAGUUAUUACGCAGAUAAUUACGAUAUCAAUCAACUGCACUAACGAGCAAAUUAUUACUGUGCCAGGUUCUCAACAGGACGUGCUGCUGGCACCUUCCUUGGCAUCGCUGAGGGGGGGGAUUUGAUCCAAAGAACUGGCGCUGCCCUCCCUCGCCUUUAAUCAAACCUAAUUACAUCCUACUUUCCCAGGCGCUGUAUUACCCCUACGUGAUUAGCACUUCUCCGUGAAUAUAUUAAAUUCGUUAUCAUUAUUGGUUGGAUAUUUUGGUUUUAAGUAUUUUUAAUCUCUGAAACAAAAAUUUAACUCAGCGUAUAUACACAAAUAUACACUUGUGUAUAUCCCUCAUAUAUCAGUAGCGUCGUCUAUAUGGGCCCCUUCCACUGAGAGAUAUCUCCCAGUGUAUAUAUAGAGAUAUAAUCAGUGUUUAUACACAUACACAGGUGUGUGUAUAUAUAUGCACUGAUAGAUGUAUAUACAAAGAUGUAUGUCUCAGCAUUUACAUAAUUUGAUUCCUAUUUUGGGGAUUCUAUCAUUUUUUACAGCCUACCCGCAGUCGAUAGGCUUUGACCCUGAGACUAACUUGUUAACCACAAAUUCUAUGACUCCCCAUCAGCUCUCUAAAAAUCCCUGUCAUUAUAAGAUUUUUAAAACGGUCUGGGACCUGUUAUAUUCCUUAGCAUAACUAUUAUCAAUAUAACGCUACAGUUCUGAGAGACGCAGGAAAGCUUUCACUGUACAGUUGUACCACGCCCGAGUGAGUUUUGAUGGGAAAUCUCACCCCAUAAGAGGUCAACAGAGCCUGGGAACUAGAGAGGUAUCAGGUUUGAUCUGAGAAAGGGCACUUAAAAUCCCUUCACCAGCAUAAAGGUGCUUACUUCUUCCAAGAGGCCUAAGGAAGAGGCGUGUUAAAGUACGCCCGAGUCACGACAACCGUAUUUCGUUAUUAAAUUUUCUCUUAUGCUGGAAUAAAUAAUUCUUUAUGUAGUUAGCCUCGAGUUGUAAUUACGAUCCCUAAGUUUGCUGUGAGAGUCAACUGUGAUAGUUUAAGGGGCAGGAAAUACCAACAUGUAUGGCAUAGCACUAAGAUGCCGUGUAGAGCAAACCUUCACUUGUAAAUUAUAUUUCGCUCCGACUCACGAAAUCGUAAUGACACGACUGCAAACAAACCAUACCACGGGCGGGGAUAGACCCCACGAUCAGUCACAUAAAACUCCAGACCGGCGCUAGCGUCGGUCUGGAGUUUGAUGACUCUCUGAUCGCGGGUUCUAUCCCCGCCCGUGGUAUGGUUGCUUACAUUUCGCUGUAAUCGGAGCGAAAUGUAGUCUAGACAUGCAGGUUUAUUUUUUUUACACAGCGUCUUUCUAUUUGUGAUAUAGGUGCAAAGCGGCCUUUGUCUACCCGCUGUAGGGUCACGGACGCUUCCAUAAUCUAGACUUUCAGUUCUCGGUUAAGUUUACGUAAUCUAGACUUUCAGUUCUCGGUUAAGUUUACGUAAUCUAGACUUUCAGUUCUCGACUUUCAGUUCUCGGUUAAGUUUACGUAAUCUAGACUUUCAGUUCUCGACUUUCAGUUCUCGGUUAAGUUUACGUAAUCUAGACUUUCAGUUCUCGGUUAAGUUUACGUUAAUCUAGACUUUCAGUUCUCGGUUAAGUUACGUAAUCUGGACUUUCAGUUCUCGGUUAAGUUUACGUAAUCUCGACUUUCAGUUCUCGGUUAAGUUUAACACUUGAAGACACUUCAGUAAACCAUAUCAUGUCCUUAUUCAUGAUACAGUGGACAGUUUAGUUUUUUUAACAUGAAAGAAAUGGCAUUCACAUUUUGCAUUUUUUUAAGUUGCUUUUUAUCAAGCUUAAAUUUACGUGCUUAGACUUCAAGCUUGAUAAUCUUAAACCCAGCUUGGAAUUCUAAGCUGAGCUAGAGAUCCAUUUUUUGCUUUUAAAACUGUGAACCAUUAGGUGAGAGAUGAUUCCCGUAGAUUGAUUAGAUUGAUGUAAUUUAGUUGAGUGACUUCAUACUUGAAGUCCAAUUGGUGUACCUGUCUGCAAUUGUCAUGUGGUGAGCAAAAAUGAGCUCUACGUCCUUUAAAACUAAGGCUGCAUUUUUAAAUGCAGCACAGUCAUUGUCCGUGGAAGUGUGCCGUAAACGUCUAUCUUAAAAUUCAACAAUAACAAGGGCUAGUAAUUUUACAGAAAAUAAAUACAAAACCUGUUAUCUACGUGACAUUAAAAAAAAUCGACACUACGUUUAUUUGCAAAUGUUACCUUACAAUUAUUUGCUUCCGUAUCUCUUAUCACCUUAUAUCUCGUCCCCUUGGAAGACUCCACAACUUGUGUCGGAGUAACGGAUCGAGGCAGAAAAGUGGAGCUGUGACUAGUCUAGAGCAAUAAACCCGUGUUUUUCUGAACGAGAUGGAAAGACUAGCCUACCUUAGGUACACCGGCGGUUGCUAGACCACUGAGUUCAUGGUAACCCAGACCAGCAUACAGUGAGUUUUCACUGUAAAUACUUUAACAGUUUAAUUCCUGAUUUACGUAUUUAAAGUAUUCUUGACUGGUGGUAAAUAGGUGACAAUCAACCUUAUUGACGCUCGUGUAAUAAGAUAGUUUUAAACCAAAAUAACCAACAAAAUGUUUUCGGGAUAUAUUUUCCAUUUCACCGGACGUCGAACACACCAGCAAUUUGAACCCCGCUAUGUAAAGAAUUAUCUAGAUCCGAACUGCGUACUGCCUACAAUAAUGAAGAAACGGCAGGUUUUAUAACUAAAACGUGUGUAUACCGAACUCACGGCUCCCGGCUUACUACUCCUCACUAAUAACAAAACCCCAAGAGGUAAAACUAUAAGAAAAAUGUGCAAGAAUGGUAUAUAAUACCGACAAGAUGAAAUUAAGACACAUGUGCAACAUCUGGGUAUCUUUAUUGUAGACGUUUCGCCAGCCAGAAUUGGUAUUGAUAAAGCCACUGGAUGGCAUUCAUUCAUUCAUUCAUUCGAGAUUUGCCGGUACUUCCGGCCCGGGUCUUCUCCACAUGGUGACCCGGCGAACACUGGAUGGCGAAACGUCUACAAUAAAAAUACCCAGAUGUUGCACAUGUGUCUUAAUUUCAUAUAAGAAAAAUAAAAGCUUCUAGGAGGAACACAAAUGGUAUCACAGCAAGUUAAAAUAACUAGUCUCAUUUAAAAAAAAAAAAAAGUCGUGUAAUAGGC